rnacentral:rRNA from 1 species
AUUGAACGCUGGCGGCAGGCCUAAUACAUGCAAGUCGAGCGAACAAAGGAGGCUCGUUCUUGGCUUAAGCGGGGGACGGACGGGUAAGUAAUAGGAAUAUACCCGACAGUGGGGGCUAAGGUACGUAAAGGGGACCGAAUCCCGUAUCGGUUCAGAGGGUGAACGGGAGGGUUCUACGGACCAAGCCCUUUUUGAUGUGCCUACGUCGGAUUAGCUAGUUGGUGGGGUAAAGGCCUACCAAGGCGACGAUCCGUAGCUGACCUGAGAGGGUGAUCAGCCACACUGGAACUGAGACACGGUCCAGACUCCUACGGGAGGCAGCAGUAGGGAAUAUUCGACAAUGGGCGAAAGCCUGACCCAGCCAUGCCGCGUGUGUGAUGAAGGUCUUCGGAUUGUAAAGCACUGUAAUUUGGGAAGAAGAGAUGUGAAUGUAAAUCUGGCCGUCUUGACGUUACCAACAGAGUAAGCAACGGCUAACUUCGUG